AAUAACGCAAAUGGGGCAUGCACCAUCCCCCACCACAGGCACUUUUCUGAUCUCUGAAAGUCAAAAUCGUCAAAUACGAAAUUCAAUUGGCAGAAAUAAUUAAACGAAUCUGCUCUUCCAAUUUAAGCAAAAAGAAAAACUUUGGACUAAUGAAAGAGAAAUCAAUAAUUUCAAUCUCAUCUCAAAUGAUCAUAUGCAGAUUAAAAAUAAUACCGACAUUCAAAACCAAUACAAUCCACUUUAAACACGAACCAAACUUAACUAGCACACGCAUAACUACAAGCAUAUACUGAUUCAAUAGAGAAGCCAGUACACACACACACACACACACAGAGACAUAUAUAUAUAUAGAGAGAGAGUUGUUGCGGAGAGACCUUAACAUUCUUGUCACCAACGACAAGUCCAUGAAGAGAACUCCAAACUAGAGCAUCAUAAACCAUCUUCUGAACCAAAUCAUCGUCUACAAAAUCGAAAUCCAACAAGGAUUUUUUCACCAUUGCUCCCUCCUGGGUCUCCAUCUCAAUUAAUCCUCGGUCACACUUGAAAGGCCCAAACUUUGGACGCGAAGAAGAGAAAAGAAGCGGCACCGGUUGGUGGGUCAACAAACCUUUGGGGUUUCCGAGAUGGGUACGCGAGAAUUUAUGGCUAGGAUACAAUGAAAAAUUGGAUUUUGAUUCUGAUGGAUGCGAAAAAAUACAGCAGCGCCCAGUAGUGGGCAAGCUGACGGAGGAAGUGCACGAAGAAUGACCAAUACCCAUUUUGACCUUUUCUUUCUUUUUCUUUUUGGCUUUUUGAACUGAAACGAGAUUCUCAUAUGUCAAAUCCUUUGCUUUCUUUGCAGCCUGGUAAUAUUCUCAAGUAGAUUGCAUAGUCAAAUAAUAUAUAUAUAUAUAUAUAUAUAUAUAUAUAUUUCUUUUUUAAUUUUGGGAAAACUAAUUAUUUAGUGGGGUGGGAGGAAUAUUAAAAAAAAACUCACUUAAAAAAAAAAUAGUAUUUAUCCGUACACAUUAAUAAUAUUAGAUUCUAAUUUAACAAUUUUAGCAUCAUUAAAAUCUUUAAUUAUAUGUUUAAUAGUAUUUAAUUAAUUAUUAUUAUUAUCCUUGUUGUUAUUAUUAUUUAUAUUUAAAUUAUUAUAUUAAUUAUUAUUUCUUUAAAAAAAAAUGGGUUUGAGUUAUGUAAAUAAUAAUAUAUAAUUUUUUUUUAAAAAAUUCUUAUUUAUAAGAAUAUGUAAAUAAUUGACACAUGAACAGAAUUUCGUUUUGACCUCCAUAAAAUUUAGAUCAUAUUAUUAUUUAUAAAUUUAAUAUAUAUAUAUAUAUAUAUAGUGAUAAUUUUUAGUUAACCUUUUAUCUGUAAUAAUUUUGUAAUUAUAAUGUGUAAUUGUAUCAACAAAAAGUUAAUAAUUUCACCAUCUCUAUUAUUAGUCCUUUAUGUUAUUAUUUGAGAUAAUUUUUAGAAAUAUGAUUAUAAACUUCUUUUAUAAUAUUAAUAUGCAUUCAUGAUAUUAUUUAUAAUUUUAUUAAUUAAUUAUAUUUUUAGUUUUAGAAUUUUAAAAUUUUAUAUUAUAAUAUUUAGUUGUUUUAUUUUUAUAUUUUUUCAUUAAAAGUUAUAGUAUUUAUAUAUAUAUAUAUAUGUAUAUUAAUGAAUUAAAGUAAUUUGUAGGUACAAUUUAUAGCACAUUUAUAAUAUGCAUGGUAGGUGAGCCUAAGGGGUAAAUCGUCUUUUUGCAGAUAAUAUCAUGAUUCCAUCCGUCAACUUAAUCUGUUAGUUAAUUACUUUUAUUAUUAUUAUUAAAGAAAUAUUAACUAAUCAAAUAUAAGUCUAUAUCUAAAUAAUUAGUGUUUAUUCAAGAAAAGCUUAGGUUGAUAAAACAAUGGUUUAAGGCUUUUUAGAUUCAAUAACUGUAGUUUAUUUCUAGUUACAUUUUACAAUAAUUAGUGCUAAUUAAAGGUGAUUAGCUAGCUUGAUUCUCUGUAAUUAAUCUACUUUUGCUUCGAUUAAUGAAGGAAUUCUUAUUCAGAUCAGAACCCACUUUUAAGAUUGAUUUCAAAGGCUUUGGUUCACCCUGUAAUUCCAGUGAAGGCAACCUCUCUGUCGAUUUCUUCCUGCUGUAUUUCCUACUCCACCUAAUCUCCUCCACAUUCUCAUUUAUGCUCACCGUUUUCUUUGGAGCUUUUCCUUCAAUCCCAGGCUCUGUUGCUUCCUUUUCCCCACUCUCUGCAGAGCUCACAUGUCGAUCAUCAUUUUUAGCGUCAAUCUCCAGUGAAGAAGACACGAGGCCUGUCUCACCAACUGACGAGAAACCUCUGCCACUUUCAGUCUGCUCAAAAGGGUAUGAGUUUCUUGCUGGUUCUGGUUCUGGGUCAGCCUUGGUUCCCAUUUCCUGAGCCACUGCGUUUGCGACUUGGUUGCCUUUUGAGUCAGCUUCGGUCUGUUUAGUUGUGGCUGUGGUAUCAGGAAGCAGGUGAGGCAAAGGACGGCCUAAGGCCACGGUCUUGAGGGCAUGUCUUAAGAAGGUCUGCGUGAUGAAGUUGUAGAGCUUGUUGCAAAUGCCAAUUGAUUCUGUUUUGCUUUCCCUAUGAUCCAUUUGUAGGGUUUCUUUUUCUGUAUAUUUUAUUGUGUUUCCUUCAUGCAAAACUUCUUAUGUAGAUGGGAUAUGCUUGAGGAAUGGGGGGGGGGGGGAUCCUUUUCUUUUAACCUAGGAUAUUAUACGGUUAAGAAGAAAUCGAAACAAUCAGGAAGACAGAUUCUUUUCUUGGGGAAUAUUUGGGAUUCUCAGAAAGUAAACUCUCAAGAAAACUUGAUACUUCUGCUCAAAGCAAGCAGGAUCUUCUAACAGUAGAAGAAAAUUACAGAUAUUGGAAAUUGACAGAACAAUCUCAAUACGUGCCAGUUAAACUUCACGGAUNNNNNNNNNNNNNNNNNNNNNNNNNNNNNNNNNNNNNNNNNNNNNNNNNNNNNNNNNNNNNNNNNNNNNNNNNNNNNNNNNNNNNNNNNNNNNNNNNNNNNNNNNNNNNNNNNNNNNNNNNNNNNNNNNNNNNNNNNNNNNNNNNNNNNNNNNNNNNNNNNNNNNNNNNNNNNNNNNNNNNNNNNNNNNNNNNNNNNNNNNNNNNNNNNNNNNNNNNNNNNNNNNNNNNNNNNNNNNNNNNNNNNNNNNNNNNNNNNNNNNNNNNNNNNNNNNNNNNNNNNNNNNNNNNNNNNNNNNNNNNNNNNNNNNNNNNNNNNNNNNNNNNNNNNNNNNNNNNNNNNNNNNNNNNNNNNNNNNNNNNNNNNNNNNNNNNNNNNNNNNNNNNNNNNNNNNNNNNNNNNNNNNNNUCAAGUGUAAGCUGUAUGAACACUUCUGAGAUCAUUCGGUCACACAAUCUGCAUAUAAAGACAUAAAAGCAACUCCCUAAAUGAAUGAAGAGAGGGUUUGUCUUUUAAAACAUGUCUUCUGAAUAAUGUUAAAACAUGCUCUUUUAAUUACCAAAAAUCUCUCAAGCAUUACAAAGCAGACGAUCAUUAGGUAAAAGUCCCCAUAGUUUGUUGUUGAAUCAUAUUAGCGACAAAAGAAAAUUCUGGAUGUAUGGCACGUCUUUGAAUGAUGAAAUCACCAAAUUCAUAAUCUACAAUUGGGGACUUCAUGGCAAUUGGGAGAAGUGCUCAUAAUAAAGAGAGAUCACAUGUACCAGAGACCAGAAAGUUAGUGAAUGGUAGACGUCCUUUUUCCAUUGUUCAGACACUAGUAUAUUUCCUACUCUUGGAUCUGGUGUUAAUGGAUUCCUAAGAAGACGUGAAGUUAGCCAAGGGAAAGAAAGUGAAAUGCUGAAACUUUAUGAACAUAGGGAAUCCUCAGAUAUAAUGUUAUUAUUUAGCCAAGCAUAAGAUCUGGUUUAAGACUUUUAGCAAGUGGAUGGCUGCUCCCAAAUGCCACUUUGUAGACAGGGAUUUGAACAGCUUUUAUUCAACUAGCCAGAUUUCAUUAUUGCUAGAUAGGUAAAAUGUAAGAGAACUUCAGUUAUGUCAAUACUGUUGACUGAAGCUUUAAGAAGAUGAAAGAAAAGGACACUUUCCAGACGAGCCCGCAGAGUCCGUAUCCUGACAACUGGUUCAACCAUUUCCCAGUACACCUUACUCCACAUGGACUCUCUUUGCUUAAUUUCAUUCUUGAGUACCUACAGUAUGAAGAUUGAAAAUAAUGGGUGAAAGCUUAAAAGUACCAUUUGCAACUUGAUCAAAAAGCUAAGAGGCUAAAAGAAUCUGAAAAUGUGACAGACUAACAGAGGAUAUAAGACAGAAUCUCAUGAAAGCAGCUAAAAAGAACUCAAGCAUACAGAGUACAUAUUCUCGGUUACUGCUUUCCUUAAUGAUGAUUUGUCGCCAAUCACCAGUAGAGUGUUAAUCUGUGAACAAAGAGAAACGCUUUAGCACAUGGAAGAAGGAAACUAAAUACAAUCAGUAAAGAGGGACAAUACAACAUAGGAAAAAUGCUGAAAAAUGAAAAGUAAGUUAUUUUCGUUCCAACCUACCAACUUCUCCCACUCCAUGACACCAAAAAGAGAAGAAAGAAAACAUGGGUAAAUAUAGGGCAUCACAGUGGCAUAUAGAAUAUAAAUAGAGUAUAUUAAUUUGAAUCAGACAGGUAGAUAUUUUGUGUGGGCAUCUCAUUUUGAUAUUUCCUAUAUCCAAAUGGCCUUAUAAAUUAAAAUCAUAUAGAAAAAGUGAAGCUCCUGAACUGCAUAGUGUAGUUAAAAUUUAAGAGCAAGUAUCGCACCUCCUUGUAUAAAUUUAUAGCCUCUUGAUAGAACUUUUGUUUUGAGUAUCCAGUUCUCCUCAAUUUAGCAAUUGCAUAAGCACUUUUAAGCUGCAAAUGAAAGAAUUGGAAAUGUGACUGUUCAGAUACAAAGAUUUCACUUUUGCUUUCUGAUAGAACAUUCAAAUAAUGAUAUUCAAAAUCAAAAGACUCUAAUUUUUUGCAAACAUACAUCUAAAACCAUACAAAGCAUAGAUAAUGCUAAAUAUCUCAUUGCAUGGUGGUUGUAAAAAGAUCAGAAUGUAGUAAAUUUCAUAAAACAAACCUACAGCAGACUAGAGAGAACAUACAAGAUGACUAUGGGGAUUCAAAAACUAGGCUGGAAUUAUUUGAUAAUUUCAAGAAACCAAGUAGAGCUGGAAUGGAAGGACUUAACCUCCAAAAUGGAAUCCUCUUUUGUUCUUUUCCAACCACUUCGUGUGAACCACCUGAAGGGCAGUCCACCAAAAAGUCAGAAACAGGAAAUAAGCAUAUCUUUAAGAAUUACAGUGCACGAAGCUAGUCCACUGGAAAUAAGACGCAUAAAGAUAGUGCAACUCAAAUUAAUGGAUCUUGAUAACAAUUAUGACUGAAUAAGAUUGUUGGCAACCCCAGCUGCUCCUAGAGAAAAAAAGUGAUGAACAAAGGAGAAACACCUGAUCCAUCCAGAUCUCUCAAUAAAGCCCAUGGCAAAGAGAAGAUCAUUAUUGAGAAUACCGUAUUAUCUUCCUACUGAAUGAAGUAACCUAUACUCCAAUCCUGCAAAGUCAGGCAGUCUGCCAUGCCUCUCACUUUUCAUGUGGCCUUUCCGAGGAAAUUUAGUAUCCAUAAGGACGAAAGGCACAUUGAAGCAGCCUCUAAGACAAUAUUAACACAGUCCAACAUUAUUCAGAUUUUUGUAAACUAUUGCUUAAGUUUUCUGUUUACCAUUAUUUUUGCCAGUACCUUCAGCAUAGACAUCAAAUUGCACAAAUUUGAUACAACUACUUGGUGAAACUAGGAUAGCAUAGCUUCAUCCAGAAGUGAUUUCAUGAACCAUUUUAGAUUUAGAACUCUAGAACAACCAAUGUCUUUUUAUUCAUUACCUUCCACUUCUGCUCCUUCAAGAAUCCCUACUUUCACAAGGAAUCUAACAACUAAAAUAAAUUAUCCAUCUCUGCAAUAAUUGUUAUGAACGUUUCAUAGUGAAUUUGAUAAUAAGAAAAAAAAUAAAUAUAACCUUAUAAUGCAAGUCAAUAACAUGAUUUGAUGAUAACUACGGGGAAAUUCCCCCUGACCAUGGGCUGAUAAAGGGGAAAAAGGCUGUAUGCCUGAAAAUCAAUUUGCAACUUACUUAAAAUACAACUAACCUCUUCCAAAAUGAGAUUUUUUCACGAGGUGCAUAAGGUUCAUAUAUGAAUCCAGGGCUCAACAUUGACACUUUAAGAGCACUCUACAAACAUGACAAGAGGAACAGGUAAUCAUUUUACUAUUUACAUCCAACAUAUAAUAAGUGGAUCUUUUCACAAGUAGAAACUUUUAUUCACACAAAAAAGAGAGUUGCAGCCCAUCUCAUCUAAAGUGUGAGAAACAAUCUAGAAAGAUGUUAAUACAUAUAAAAACAAAAACUUGCAGAUUCUUGGCGGCAGCAUUAUAAAUAAUUGGUUAUGGUUAAAAUUGAUAAAUCCUUUCAAACUAUAUAAUAGCAUGUGUGUGGAUCUUCAGCCAUCAUUUCGCAUUCUUUUGGCAUAAUCAAAAGCAUUCUGAUCACAAAACUAUUAGUUUUUCUUCCGAAGAAUAUCUAUCGAUAAUCAAAUUGGCUGAAGAAGUACAUAUUGCAUCAAUGUUCCCAUACAUUUGUGGGCUUGUCCUCUCCAAAUCUUUUAUACCGCUUCUUACUAAAAUGGAACAUAUCAUGUCUGAUUAGUUCCAUUUAAAAUUAUGGACAAUGGCUAAGAAUGUGGAAGCACCUUUUAAAGAGAAACGAAAAUAAACAGAAAGCAACCACCUCAAAUCAAGCUGAAAUUUACAGAGAGUACAAACCAUUUGUCUCGCUUGUGGAUGGGCUUGUGCUUGCACUGCUAAGAACCUUUUGUCAUUCACGAAAAUCAACAACUCAGCACCCUAAAUCAGGACCAAAAAGGAUACAAUCUUAGGGACAAAACAGCACCUACAUCAGCUAAAAAAAAGCAUGAUAGAUUUUCAUCCAACCAACUAACUUUCUAGUCGGGAGAUUACCAUCCUAGAAUGAAGCAUCGUUGUACUGCUCUGUGUCCAUGGAAGAGCAUUCUGGUUCUUAUACAAGCAAGAAGAAAAAUUUCGGCUAUAAAGUUCAGGAACUGAUCACAUAGAACACAUCAGCUUACAAUGACAAAACUAAAAGUUGCACAAAUAACUUUAGUAUGUAAUCAAAAUUUUAAUAGAUUUGUUAUCAGAAAAGAACUACCACGAGAAAGACCAGGGAAGUAACUCCUCGAGCUCCCAGUACUGAAAAAUAAUGAACAAGAUGUCAAAAAAAAGUAACUUCAUGCCAAGCAAAUGAAGAGCAUUUUUUUUUUUGAAGUCCAAUUUGUAUAAAACACAGGGAAAAGACGGAAAUGAAAAAUGAAGCCUUUUUUAUACAGAAUUCGCAGCUUUAAUCUGACUAGGCGUACAAAAAAUGGACCGUGCAAUAAACAUCAUUUGAAUGAAGUGCCUAAAGAUUCUCGUAGUUCUUUUUCUUCAUUUUCUCAGCAGGGAAACAGAGAAUCAAAGAAGAAGCCCUCAGCUAAAGAACACCUCAAGGUUCCAAAUUUCGAGAACCAUAUUCAGAGAUUAACCAUACGCAGAAGCGAGUUUUCUUUUUCGAGUAUAACAAAUCUCAAAGUUAAUUAAAAAAAUCUGACAAUUUCCUUCUCGUUUUCACAUAUUUCCCCAGGAACUAAUCAAGACAGUUAAAAAUGAAGUGGGUACUCACAGAUGCGAAAACUCCUGUGCCUCAACCGUCUGAUAAACAGCGCGAACUCUUUGCAAUCUCCUUAACAACGCCAUAUGCGAUCAUUAAACUGAAUCCAAAACCCUAACGUGAUGGUUUGAUCAGAAAAGACUUUAGUUCUUAGUUUCUGCAGGGUUUAAGUGAGAAAGUAUCGGGUAGUACGCAGCCCACGAUAGCUUAACUAUGGGUGCGGGAUCGUCCAAUAGAAUACUAGUUUAAUGAUAUAAACAGAAAAUAAAAAAAUAAAAAGAAAGCAAUAAUAAAAAUUGAAAACUUAAAAUAAAAAAAUAAAAAAAACACACUUACGAAAAUUUGAAAAUUAAAAUAUAAAUAUAUUUUUAAUAUUCUUUUAGAAAAUUAAAAAUAUUUUCAUCAACCUAAAACAUACAUGUGUGUGCAUACAUAUAUACAUGUAAAAUAUAUAUUACAUGUAUUCAUAAUACGUUAAUAAUACUACCUAGGAAAAAUUCAGGCAACCAUUGAGAAUUUAUCUGCCAACAAUGAUACAAUAAAAAAUAGGAAUGCUGAUAACUCUGUGAUUCAAGAAUUCUGAUAAUUUGCACCAGUUGUGGAACUGGGAAUGUGAGGAACAAAUCCUCGGCCGCCAAAGACGGGCCUCAUGAAUCUGUCAUCAAAUUUUCUCCACAGGCAGUGAGCAGUUGGGGUAGGGUGAGUAAUUAACACUCUCAGAUUGCUUUUUUUCGGAGCUGGCCCGGUGUUGCCUUGCUCGCUUGGUUCGCCAUUUUCGGUCAACAGUAGUCUCAAGUCAUCCAGACUGGGAUUAUCGGUUGCAUCAGGAAUUGCAGGUUUUUGAUGUCUUAGCAGCACUCUUUCUAUCAGGGGCUUGGUUAUGGAACCAAACACCUGUUUACGGAUGGGAUCAGCAAUGUUGUAAACAUAUUCGGGAGAUAAUCUAUUAGAAGGUUGUAACAUAUAGAUGUAGAUUAUUAUAUGUAAAUUAAAGAUUUGAUUAUUUUAUAUUAGUUUAAACUUUUUAAAAAAUUCAAUUAAACUCAAUUCUUUCGCAUAAUACUAAAAUUAUACAUUUAGAAUAUAAAUAAGAAAAACGAAUAUAAAAGGCCGAAGAUUAAGUUAAUGAUAGAAGAAUCAGCGAUCUAAUUCAGAUAAGAACAGUGAAGUAAUGGAAAUUACCACUGUACUAAACAAAACAACAAUUAUGGUAGAGGUAAUCAUGAGUGCAGCGUCCUCAGUUGAUGAACUGUGAGUAUUUGAAAACUGUGACACAAACUUUGCAUGUCAGUAGAUCAAUUUUCCAGCUGGAGAUUUAAAAUGUUAAAACUGUAUUUUCGAGUAUCAGGUUAUCGGUUACCUGGUUAUAGGAUAGAGCAAUGGUGAUUGAACCUCUCAUUAGGCCUGCCCACCACAUUAUACACUGAGAUUUAUAACAGUCAGCAAAUGCUGGACCAAAGAAAAGUUCAAUUGAGAUAAGUUUGAUUAGGUCCUUGGCGAUGAUAUAUCACCUGUUGUCUAAACUCAAUUUUCGUAUUCUUGCUCCUUCUAACAUAGUUUAAGAUAUUUGCUAGAGGGAAUAUGAAUGCUGCCCUUCCAAUCAACACCAAGGCAAAAAAUGUUGAACUAACAGCAAUAGAGGUGCCUGGACUGAAUCAAGAAGAUGAAAAACAAGAUAGCUAUGGUUAGGACUUCGGAUAUGGCAGCACGAGCAAAGACAAGCUUCGAAUUUAGUAUUCCCCCAUUAUUGUAUUCACAAAUUGUUAACUUGUCUCCAGAAUCCAGGUCUACUCUUUCUGGGCCAGCCAGUAGGGCUGGUAAUAGAGACAGAACCCCAGAAUUCAAACUUGAGACAAGAGAAACAUGGCAGUCUGGCUUUGGCCAAUAAUGGAUUAGCAGAUUUGAGAUCGACUUGUCAACUAACUUUUUGCUCUAGGCAUACAUUACAAGAGCAAAAUAGUAUUACCUUGCACUGCUAUCUCUCCAUUUGUCAAUGUCCAGGGCAUCCAUACCAACGUAUAGGAAUAUAAAAGUUUCCGCAAUGAAAGAAAUUGUCGCAAAGGCAUGCCUGAAAAAUUCAGAUACUGCAGCCAUUAAGAUCAUGUGUCAUAGAAAGAUAAAAGAAAAGAUUUUGCAUGUCUCUAUCAGACUUUUCCAUAGCACCACUUUUGAGUGAUUGGAUGAAGUAUCUAGGGAUUCAGAUGCUUGAUAGUUGCUUAUUAACCAGAGUUGAUCACAAUAAUAAACAUGAUACAUAUUUUUGGCUCUUACUUGGUUGUUAUCCUUGAGCUUUCAGUUAUGUUGUGCCAUGUAUAAUGUGACAUGACAAUGCCACAAAAGAAAAUUGUCAAAAUCCCACUGAGGCUCAAAAGCUGCAAAAGCAACAAAAGGAUGAACCAUUGAUUUCGGAAAAAAGGUCUCGUUCCCUUAAAAGAAAGUGUUUGUAAAUACAGAACCUCACGAACAUUGAGGAUAAGAAUAUUAGUGUUUCGAGUGAAAAAGGGGAACGUAAUUUUUCAAGACUAAGACUAUGAUUCUUUGACAAUUACCUCAGCCAACAUGUAAGAUAAGUAGGCCAUAAGCAUCAUAAGUGCUACUUCACGAUCUGUAGAGUGCCUGUCAAUGCCAGAAUAUAAUGUCAGAAUAGAUAUAAAGCCCGAGUUGCAAGCAAAUCAAACUUACCAUCCAAUAUUGAAGGCUAUUUUGGUCAUGUUAAGAUUCAUAACCUCAUCGUAAUCAUAGAUGCUAGAGAAAAAGGAUAUAAAACAUUCUAUUAUACCUUCCAAAGUAAAGCGUCUUUAUGAUAUAAGCGCUUAGAAGAGCCACCUGAAAGAUAGCAAAGCAUGUUGGAAGGAAAUCAAAGCUCGAUUCUUCAGAGCUCAGGAAUUGAUUCAUAAUUUAGCUAGAAACUGAUUCAUGAUUAUAAACAUUACUUACUACUACACCAAGUGCUGUGCUGGUGAAGAACAGAUAGAGAAAUGUUCCCAAAAAUUUCAAGAUGAUCAUGACAUUUAGGUUGUUGAAGUUUAUGGACUGGACUGCGUUGAAAAGCACAAUAGAUGUAGCAUCAUUUACUACUCCUUCCCCAAAUAUCACACUGUAAAGGAAGGGUGUUUGAUCUUGGUUAAGAACCUUUAAACAUGGAGGAGAAAAUUUGCGCGUUAGAGACAAUAAUCAACUGCCAUGAGGAAGCUUCUGUUUAGCAACUAGUAUUUAUUAGGAUAUAGAAAAUAAAUUAGCUCAUUUCCCAUUAGCUUAAGAUUUUGAUAUGAUUGAUUAAACUUACAAUCAUUUUUUGAAAUUAUCAUAAGUACCUGCAAUGUACAUACUGAAUCAGUGGCUGAUAAUAUAGCACCAACAGCUGCAAACGAAUAAUGCUCAAAGAUAAGUAUAAAACAACAAACUUUCACCCAACACAUGCACAAGGGCAGAAGAACAGAAUUAAAAAGAAAAAAAAAAGACAAACUAAAGCACCUAGGUAAUCCUGAGUACUUAGAGAUUUCACGCCGAUUCUUGUAAACAGCAGGAAGUCACCUGCAGGGUUUUCCAAAAACAUACAUGCGAAGCUAAGUCUGUUCUGAUGGAAUACGAGAUAGAAAAUGAGUUUAAAAAUGCUUUAAACUAGAUACAGUUAUGCAAUACAAAAUAUGUUCCUAGGCCUUACCCACAGAGAUGAUGCAGAAUGAAAUUGCGGUGCCAAGUAUUCCAAACAACAAUAUUAUGGUGAAAUUCUUGAAAAAUUGCUUCUUUUUGACCUGGAAUCUGGAAAAGUUUUUUCCCAACAAUUAUUGGCUGCACUUGGUCUUCUCCAAACAUUUAAUUUCCAUGCAUAACUAUAAACAAAAAAUAUGGACAAAUUACAUAGCUCUUGAAUAAAAAAUUUCAUAACCCAGAGAAUUAGAACUCAAGCUAAAAUUUUUAUGCAACCAACUCACAGAUCAUGGAAAUUAAAAUAGUAGCAGAUGGAAAAAUCAUACCCAGCAUUGAAAAUGAUUGGUGGCAGCAGAUAAAGGAAGAACAAAUCCUCACUAAACACAAGUAUAUGAGAAUCAGAACCUUUAGUCACCAGCAACACCACUCCUCCAGCACACAACCCCUGUAAUUAAAUAGCCGAAUAACUGACCUUAACCUACGACAGUAUAAAAGAGCCAAACAAGAAGAAAGCUCAGAUUUUAUAAGUACCCACCAAGAGAAGAGCAGUGAUUGACUCAUUAACCCAUCGGUUCUCUUCAAGGACGUGUCCUAUGAUGAUGAUGGCACAGAGGAGGGUGAAGAAGACAGUCAGUGCAAUAAUGGUGGUUGUGCUAAGAAAACCUGCUAAGUCUUCAGCCAUUUCUGGUGUUGAGUAGCUAAAUUUGGUAUAUACAGAUGUGGGUUUCAUAGAUGCUGAGCAAGUGCCAAAUUUGGGAUGUCAAACACGAAGUCUUCACCUAAAUUUCAUAUUAGAGAGCUCUGAGGAUUUGCUUGGUUGGUUUUCACGUUCAAGACUUGUAGAAUUGGAGGGAAGACUGGUAGUUGAUCUUGAGGAAUAAUCCUCUACAAAUCAGAAUCUCUACAAUUGCUGCAACCUACCAGCUCGAUAUAUUGAGACAAGAAAGGAAUUUCCUUCUGCCUCUCAGUGGUGUUUGAAGAAAAUUUAGAAUCACAAGCAUUUGAAAUUGCACCAUAUUAACAUACGUUCUGAAACUGCAGAUAUUAUUGUUGCAGUAUAUUGCUGAGUUCUAAUUUUUUUAGUUAGAUUUAUAACCUGUAACAUGAAUUAACUUCUGUUUACCGAUUUGGACAAUAGAAAUAAUUUUUAAUGGUUAAUUGACUGCAUUUGUUAAAAGAUUUAAAAAUCUGGGGUCACCAUUAAUUCACGAACUAUUCCAGUGUUCUUAUCUCAGUUUAGGACACUGGGCAAAUGUACUGGAGAAUUUUAGGUGGAAUGGAUAAAUAAAGCAGAACAAAAUUUAUUACUUCAAUUUCAAAAUUGUUUGAGCAAUAAAUGCCAUCUUAAAAUAAAAAAAUGAAAGAUAAUAGUCCCUCAAAUCAAUAUUACAUUCAAACUCUAUAAGCUUCAAGUCGCUGCUUCAAAAGCCAUUAGAAGAAAAGAAAGCAGUCGGCGACGAACCAGAAGUUGCAUGACUGGAUCAUCCGCAGGUUAAAUUUGCAAAAGAAUUCUCGUUAAUAGUUAUUCCAAGUUUGACAUUGUAAUAGCAUGGCCCCACCUUUUCCAAGGGCACAAGGGUUGUCCCCUAGAAGUAGAGCAAUAUGAAAAAGAAUCUCAGUGUCCAGUUUGUUUCUGCUUCUGAUAUUCAUCGAUGCAUGACAAUGCUCGAGCAACUGCACUGAGAGAAAGUUCAUUGUAGCUUUCUCUUGUCUAAACUAAGUAAAUAGGUAUCUAAGAUCCGAAAAUCUGCCAAAUGAGCUAUUGGCGGAAGACUAUAGAACUGUCAGCGAAAUAGCAGCAGAACGAAGCUUGACACCAUCAUCAUCCCACCUGGACAUUGGUGCAGUUGCUCCAGCAAUGAUUGCCUGCAACAAAUAAACAAGGAAAUGAAAUUACAAGACAGAAGUAUCGCGUUAAAAUGACAACAAAACAUCUUAGUUAUUAAGUGAAGCAGUAAAAGCAUGCACCCCUGACCUUUCCGCUACUGACUGCAGCUACUAGUGCUACAUGCUGUUCAUCUCUACCAAAUUCAUAGAAGUAAUAGGUCCUGAAAAAAAUUAAGCAUUAAUGUUAUACAUUAGAAACCUAAUCCCUGAUUAGAAAGUCUAAAGCUCGAUUCAUAUGCUUCAUAGUGAACAAAAAUAUGCCCAAGUGUAAUAUUUCCUAUACUUUGUAAACGCUGACAUCCAUCUAGAGAAUGAGAAAAAAUAACUUGCCUGAGACCUUCCUCCUCCUUUAUCUUUAGUGUCCGAGCAGAGUAUAAAGUAGCUCCACCUACCGAUAAACAAGCAUCACAAUAAACCAAAGGGAUGGAAGAACAAAAGAUAUUCGAGGAACAGUUAUAUAUGAUUUCUUCUUUUUUUGGAUUAUGUGAUACUACAUCGAGUCGUGUAAUUCACAACCUAUAAUUAUUGAAGAAUACUUAAGUCUACAAAAUACAAAAUGUAAAAUACCUGGAACAAAAAUUCUUGCUGCUUCUUUCAAGGAACCUAAAUCAGUAAUAUCUUUGGCCUGCUCAAACAUCGGAUAAUAUUGUGUAAAUACCUUGAUGAGUUUAUCAAGGAAUAUUGUAAAACAGACCAAAAAGAUUCACCUAAAUAUUCACGAGGAUAUGAUGGAGCACAGUACACCAAACAAUUCCACAAGGUAAAUUAUGCAAUUAGAGAAGCGAACAUGAAUGAACAUAUUUUAUAGGAGCACUUAAGCAAACCGGCCUCAUUAUUUGACACUGGUCAUAUACAGCAUGUAACGAUAGCGAAAAAAAAAAAACAGUCACACAUCCUUAAGUAUAAAAAUGCAAAGAAAUCUUUGACUUCAAGUGAGUAAACCAUAUAUUAUGGGGGAAAAUCUCCACGACAAUACAACACAAACCUCUAAGAAGGUGAUCUUGAGCUGAUUGGUUGGGCGGACGACAACACUUAAUACUUCAGACCUAACCAAGCAAUAACAUGUAAGAAAAUCAAAUAUAAAUGCAUAAUAAAUUUUGACUAUAACCAAGACAAUGGCAAGCAAGUUUUUCUACAGUCUGAAGAAAUAGGGAAUAAAGUAAAACUGAACAGGAAAUUAAGAAGCAUAAUAGAGAGAUCAACAGGAGGUAAUUUGAGGAUCUGCAUAUUAUAUAUAUACCCAUCAGGAGAUGCAAAUCGUGCCGCGAAGGUCUUGGGCUUUGCCUUGUCUCCAUAUAGAGACAAGCCAGCAGAGAAAUCCUUGAAAGAUCAAGCAAUAAACAAAGUCAAUACAUGAAUUUUGCAUCUAAACUAAUAUCACCUUUAACUAUCCAAAAAUUUACUUCUACAUCAUCUUGUUCCAUUACCAAUUGGGGUAAAUGAUCCAUAGUCCAGAGCAGCAGGAGAAAAGGAAAAAAAAAGACUAAUAGAACACACCCGAUUUGAAAUAACACGAUCCAAGCAAAAACACAACUUCCCAUUAACUACAACCAAACACAUGCACGAUUCUAUGAAGAAAAUAUACCUCGGGCUCCAUGAUAUCUUCAAAUUGAGGAGGGACCCGGAUGGCAAACCCGUCGCCAUAAAACUGGAACCACGAUUUUGUGUUGGCAAUGCCAGAAAGACCAAGUUUUGAAGGCGAAGAAGGUUCGGCCAAGGAUACACCUAAUGGGUUUUGAAGGGCUAAGGAAAGAGUUAUACAAAAUGAAGUGGUUUUGAGAAUGAAGUCCCUUUUACAGGUAGUUUUGUUGGGAGUUCUGGGACUGGUAAAGACAGUGGUGGAUGUGGUCGGUAUGAGAGUGGAGGAAGAAGUGGGUUUGGGGUUUUGGGUGAGGUUUUGGUGGUGGGUGAAGAGAGAGGGAGAGAGGAAGAAUGGCCAUGAGCAAGUGAAGAUAGAACCCAUGGCGGGGAUUUGAUACAGAAAUUUUGGAUAAAGUGGGGCAGAAGAUGAGCCAGGCUAUGUAUGUAUUAGAGAGAAUCUCUGCGUUUCUCUAAAUAAUGCAGGCUAGUUUCGACAUUUCAGAUUUUAUGAAUAAUAAUAAUAAUAAAUAAAUAAAUAAACCCCUACAUAUUAGACUAUAAUAAAUCAUAUAUUUAAUUUUAAAAUUUAUCUUUUGUAAUUUGUUAAUUAAUAUUUUUACAAAACUCAUCAAGUUACCCGCUAUGUUGGCGAAAUGACCAAAAUGCCCAUGGAUCUCUCACCGGCCAGGAUGGUUCAUUUUAUCCUGAAAAAUGAAAUUCAUCCCCACCAAUCCAACACCAGAACAAAUCCAAGCCACCCAAAAUCCCAACCCAAAAAGAAACCAGAGAAUGAUACAGAGCAAGGAAAAUCUUUUCUUCUUCUUCCUCUGAAACACUUUCACUCUCCCUCCCAUUUUCCUAUCUCUCUUUUCAAUGGAUACCUUACUGUCUUCCCACUCUCUUUCCCCUCUCCUCCAUCCAAAAGCUCCAUCUCUGAAACACACUCAUUUGCCCCAAUCUCUCCAACCCAUAUCAAAUCCACUAUUUCUCUACAAACCCUUUUCUUGCAGCCUCAGAGCACAAAGUUCUCAGCCAUUAAAAUCUACUUCAAAGGUACGUACCAGCAACAGCUGGUUAACUCGUGCCCAACAAGCGCUAGCGGCUUUAGCUCUCUCUUUGGCUCUCAACUUUUCCCCACUGUUGCAUAGUGACAAUGCACUAGCGUCUGAGUUUGAUGUGCUCAAUGAGGGGCCACCGAAGGAUUCAUACGUGGUUGAUGAUGCGGGUGUGCUCAGUAGAGUUACCAAGUCCGAUUUGAAGCGGCUGCUGUCAGAUUUGGAAUCCAGGAAGAAUUUCCAUAUCAAUUUUGUCACUGUUAGGAAGCUCACUGUAAGAAUUUUUGUUCUAGAUUAUCCUUUCUUUUGUUAAUGACUCUUGAUGAACAGUAGGAAAUUUCAGUUGUAAGAUUGUAGGAAAUUGUUACGAAGUCUGUAAUUGGUCAUUGAGGAAACCGGGAGAAAGAAAAUGGAAAAUGGAGUUCUAAACUUUGGUUUUUUAGCUAUUAAAAACAAAUAUGCAGAGAUUCAAAUUCCUCAGUAUUUGUUUUCCAUUUAUUUACUGCAAGUUGUGAAUAAAAUAAUAUUUGAAUUUGAAUUUGAUUUAUGCCAAUUAUGUGUCUAACUCAACAAAGGUAGUUUCAUAAUCAUUCCCUUGACAAGUUAACAAAACAUACAUUUACUAUAAAGCUAAAAGUAUGUAUGGAAUAGUUCAAUUUUGUAUCAGAUAAUAGAUAUGAAAGCAAAUGGCCUAUAAGCUUUUGAUUGUUGAGGACUUAUCUUACCAGAUAAUGGUUAGUGCUAAGAAAAUUAGUAGCUAACUAGAUUCGGUUAUACAGUCUUGGCAAAAGUCUGUAAUUUGUGAAAUAGAACACAUGAUCAAACAGUUUAUAAGUGGUUGGAGUUUGAGGUUUUGCAUACUGAGGAUAGAUAGCAUUUGGUUGCAGAGCAAAGCUGAUGCUUUCGAGUAUGCUGACCAAGUUUUGGAGCGCUGGUAUCCCACUGUUGAAGAGGGCAAUAACAAGGGCAUUGUUGUGCUUGUCACCAGUCAAAAAGAAGGAGCAGUUACCGGUGGCCCUGCAUUUAUUGAAGCUAUUGGAGAAAAUGUUCUUGACGCCACUGUAUCAGAAAAUCUUCCUGGUAAUUGGCCAUUUACUUUUCAAACUUCAAGUUGGUCGUUUUUAGAUUUUUUUCUUAGCAUAUACUGCAAUGAACUAAACUACAUGGCUGAAACUGUACUUUUNNNNNNNNNNNNNNNNNNNNNNNNNNNNNNNNNNNNNNNNNNNNNNNNNNNNNNNNNNNNNNNNNNNNNNNNNNNNNNNNNNNNNNNNNNNNNNNNNNNNNNNNNNNNNNNNNNNNNNNNNNNNNNNNNNNNNNNNNNNNNNNNNNNNNNNNNNNNNNNNNNNNNNNNNNNNNNNNNNNNNNNNNNNNNNNNNNNNNNNNNNNNNNNNNNNNNNNNNNNNNNNNNNNNNNNNNNNNNNNNNNNNNNNNNNNNNNNNNNNNNNNNNNNNNNNNNNNNNNNNNNNNNNNACAACACAUGAAUUGACUUUCUUCUUAGAAGCAUUAACUAAAGCCUUAAACCGAAGUUAGACUGACUCUACAUUAAACACUCGGUGUUCUAAGUUUCUGUUUCAGUUUGGGAUGUUCCUCUGAAGUUAAUUAGUCUUAUGAAUCAAAUUGGUGGCUUUUGACUGCAGUCUUUGCUACGGAAGAAAAGUACAACGAGGCCCUCUAUAGCAGUGCCAAACGGCUAGUUGCUGCAAUUGAUGGCCUUCCAGAUCCUGGAGGGCCCAAAUUUAAGGACAACAAACGAGAGUCUAAUUUCAAAACCAAGGAAGAGACAGAAGAGAAACGAGGACAAUUCAGUCUUGUCGUUGGAGGUCUGUUGGUGAUUGCUUUUGUUGUUCCCAUGGCACAAUACUAUGCUUAUGUCUCCAAGAAAUGAUACUUGUACUGUUAGACCUUCAUUUUGGAUCAAUUCUUCUAGAUUAUGAAGGGAAAGUAUAACACAUGUACAAAUUGAUCAUGUUGAAAUUGUUGAUAAGAGACUUGCAAUCAAGUGACAAGUACAAAAUUUUGAUUUGUAUUUAUGAAACCUGUAUUUGAAAUCGUGUAGUCGUGAAUAUUUUCCAUAUGCCAUUAUCAUCUUAGUGCUAUCCUAAUAGAUCUCAUAGUAAAACAGAACUGAAUUGUAACACCUACUUAAAUUUUCUCUUUGAUUUCCUUCCAAACAAUAGCUAACUAGAGCUUGGUAAGCUUUUUAACAAAUGAGACUAACUGAUCUUAGUGCCAACAGAUGGACACUAAAGCUGCCGCAUUUUUUCUGCAGUUCCUAUGUUCUGCAGAUCUGGUUCUGGGUCAAAAACAAUAACUCGAUCUGGUUCUGGGUUCAUAAAACCAUAGAAUUUUAUGGAGCAUUCUAUUGAUAUAUCUUUUCUGAGCUUAUCAUGAAGAGAAAAAUCUCAUUAGAGGGUCCAAUCCUAAUAUUCUAAUGAACAAACAAGGUGUGACAUGUUUGCUUGUCUUUAGUCGAAAACUAUAAAUCAUUGAGUCACAAAUUGUAUCAUUUGACAAGACCUCCCUCUUAUUAGUGGCUUGAAAUCAAUACCAUAAGCCAACAAAUGAAGAGAGAUGUUAAUUAUAUAAUUACAAUAAUGAAGAUUCUGUCCUCAAAACUUGAUGGGUAGGAGGAAAGGCAUUUUAUCAGCGAAAGGAGGAUCAGAAUACUUCCCGGUUAGUAUCUGUGACGAAACGUAUUGAUUUGCAGCCUCAGUAUAAUGAAUUCCAUCCCAGUUUACAUAUUCGGUACUAUCAUUGCACGCAGUGGCUGUGACUGAAGAACCAUCCAAGACUUUCGUUUGCCCACAAGCAAUCCUACUGUCGUAGUUUAGUGGUGGACCUCCAACCCCACAGCAUGCCGUUAUAGGUUGCUCAAAACCUGCAAAUCAAGAUUUUAUUCAGCUAAAAGAUAUUACAAUUGAAAUACAGUGUUGGGAUUCAUAACUGAAAUUUAAUCAAGAGGGAUCAUACCGUAUCGAGAGUAAUUAGCAAUAAGGUUGGACUUUAUUGAGAAGAUAUCCACAUAGGUGACAUUAGAACCUGCAAAUGAACUCUGCAACUUUUUGCAGAGAGCAUGAAGCUGAAGAUUAAAAAAUCUAGCAGCCUGGUUAUGUGCGCUGACACAUCCUAGCUCAUCAAGCUUCAAUGGAUCUGUUCCGAACUUGGCAACAUUCUGAGCCAGGCAUCCAAGAGGCCCAGUAUUAUGUACCCAAAAAUUUCUUGCACCUUGGUCAUAUAGUCUCUGGACAAAAAAACAAAACAAAAUCAAAGAGUUCAAAUCUUUACUAUUUUCAUAUGAUCAAAAAGAGAAUGCAAGCAAAUCAAAGUAGAACAAUUUUGACCCUUUUCAAAUCCAACCGAGCUCACCUUUAGUCCAGUUUCAAAUUCCUCUAAAAUUUUUGGAAUAGAUGCCAGAACUUGGUCUAAUGUUUUAGAGUAAAACGCACCAGCAAGAUCAUUCUGACCAAUAUCAAACAUGUAGAGACCCUUUUCGAAAUAGUCUUGCAGUGGCAGGUACUUUUCAUACUUCCUGCCUGCCACAAAAUUAAAAUAAGUGGGUGCUGGUUAAAAUUUCUUAUCAGUAUUUUCAGGCAAUAAUCCUUCUGAAAAUUCACCAGAUUGAAAAUUUUCACGGUAUGCACACCUUUUGCUAGCAAAUCAAGAGCCCUAACUUUGAAUCUGAGGAACUGGGAAACCUGGAUCCCAAAUGAAAAUGGACUGAGAUCUGAAGCAGUUGCUGGAAGAAUCUUUGAUGCUGCAGCCGCAAAGUUGCACCCUUUGCGAAAAUUCGGUAAGCCAAGUGAAUCCAGAUAGGCAUUCAAGAAUGGCAAAUCCAUUGCAUCCACUGCAACAUUAUAUACUCAAACAAAUGUAAAUAUAUCCAACAGAACCAAAAAUUAGCCAUCAUAGAAAAGGAUGCAAGGAUUGAAGAGAGAAAAAAAAAAAGAACACCUUGAUGAAAACAGGGGAAACAGAGGAAUAAUGAGAAAAACAGUAUGGAUGACAACAGGGGAAACAGACAAUAUGCAGAGACUAUAGCCAUAAAAACCUAAUGGGCAAAAAACAGAGAACUUUAUAUGGACGAUUAUUUUCAGAUUCUGGAGGGUAAAUUACUGAGAAAAUCAACAAUGAGACGGCCAUCACAGUAUCUCCCAGAUGGUGUUUGGAAGUAAGAUUGCCCAUUAGGAGGAUUAAGGCUUUCAAUCCCAGCAGAAAUGAGCUCUCCAGUAUCAGAAUUCGAGUCUCCGAAGUUGAAAACCACAGGAUAAUUGAAGUGAAUGGCACUUGUUAGAGUCAAGAAGAUGGAGAUCAAAGUGAACCAGAUAUACAGAAGGCAGGUCCUUGUAGCCAUAAGAGCCAGAGCAAUCUUCUCUGGUAGCUUUCACGUAUUAGUUAAAAACUAGAUAUACAUACAUACAUAUAUAUAUAUAUAUAUAUAUAUAAACGUAUUGUAACUUUCCAUUAGUAGACCAAGGGUUGGUGGUGGUUUGCAAUAAAAGUCAUCUUCUUUUAUUGGCAACCCGACAGGAGAUUGGAAGCAAUUAGUUUUGUUUUGCAGGUUGGUGUACCAUACUUUUUCUUAUUGCCAUUCUGUUCCACAAAAACUUCAUUAAUUACACUAAGGAAAUGCCUGAAAACCCAACUUGUCUUUUUUUCCCUUCUCAAUUCUCUAAUGAACUACUGAUUGAACAUGACAUUUUCAACACUGUAAAAACACAAAUUUAGUUAGAAGAAUACUUAAGAGAUCAACGAGGAGGCGGCCAUCGCAGAACCUUCCUGAUGGAGUCUUGAAGUAAAUCAUACCAUAAGGAGGAUCAAGGUGAUCACCCAUUCCAGCAAUAAGUUCACCUGUGUCAGAAUUUGAAUCACCAAAGUUGAAAACAGAAGGGUAAUUGAAUUCAAUGGGGUAGGAAAGAGGUAAGAGAAUUGAAGUUAAGGUGAGGAUUUGUAGGGUCAAUUUCAUGGUUUAAACGUUUUUCUGUUUCUUUCUUUCUUUGUUGAAGUUAAAGUUUUGAUUGGCUCUGCCAAUAAAUCAAAUUCAAUGCAGCUUUAUAAACAUGUGAUGAAGAGGGAAAGUUGAAUUGUUUCUGAAACCUUUGAUGUUUAGAGUGAGGGUUUACUUUAGAUUAUGGAAAGAGCCAAGAUUUAUGGCCAAAAGCAAUGCCUUUACACCCCCUCUUUUUUGUUGUCUCUCAAGUGAGAAUGAAGCUGUAACUGUGAAGAAAUGAUACUAAACAAAUACUAAAAGACAAGACAUUAACAAACCUAAUCAAAGCCUGAAAGCACCAAACAGUUCAUAUUUCGAGUGGCUAAGGUAUGUUCCCGGCACGGUUCAAAUACCAUAUGAUACAAUAAGUGAAAUUUAUCACAUUUUUCUAGAGUCUGAAUGUACGAAAUACUAAAUUUUCUAUUAAAUAAAAAAAAUAAAGCAAAAAAAUUCGAAUAAAUUAAUAUUCCAAGACAAAAGAAAAAUAAGAAGAGGCUUGAGACACUGGGCACCAUUCUGCAAGCAAGAUGUUCGAGUAUCCCUUCCACGGGUGGCAUUUUGGAAACUUAACUUUUUUGUUUUAUCCAGUCUCCUACUCCACAUUUUCUUGGUUACUUAAGUCUGUGGAGGAACAAUAAUAAAGAAUUUCCAAUGUAAUAUUUUUCUAGUGGGCACAAUCGGUUUCUUUCCCCAGUCAAAUGUUAAUUUAACUCUAAUUGUAAUAAAAAAAAAAUUUGAACGAUAUCUCAGUGUUAUCGUAAAGCAAGAGAACUUUAUAUAGAUUUUUAUAUAAAUAAAUAAUUUGUAUUAAAAAAAAAUUCUAUAUAUUCUUCAUCGUUUUUUUAACUUCUCGAGUAUUAUUGACAAAUAAUUUUAUUAUUUUAAAAAAAUUCUUAUAUAUUUUUCAUCACUUAACUUCACGUAUCAAAAAAAUUCAAGCAUGUUAUCAAAUACUAAAUGCAGAUAAGACUCAAGAUCUUCAAUCCAAAUUCAAAGGGAUACUACGAGAGUCGAAGUGCACCAAGGCAACACGUGGCGCAACAAUCUCUGAUUCUUUUUAUCUAUUGCUCAUAUAAUAAUUGUAUGGAAGAGUCGGCCGGGAAUACAUAUGAUGAUCAUUUUCAAUAUAUUCAACUUAAAAUAGUAUACAGAAAGAAUUGCAGGUAAAUAGAAAAGAAGUAAAGAUCCAAUGCUCAUGAUUUUCCAUGUGACAAGAAACAAGCUUCUUCGAUUUUAAUGUAGGUUAAUAUUUUUUCAAACGAAUUACAUGUUUCACUUUACCUCUUGUAAUCAAACUACCUAUAUGGAUUAAGAAAACUUCCCAUUACAAUGCCUUUUUCCCAGAUUAUGAAAAGCAUCAUCACUCGGGCAAGUCCACACCAUAAGGCCUCCACAUAACUGCCCCAAAAAAGCAUGCCCUUUUUUGUUUGUUAACAAAAAGCAUGCACAAUUAUUAUUUUUUGGGAAAAGAUCACGUAUAAUAGAAGAUAUACUCAUGUAUAUGAUAGCAUCCACAUUUUCUUUUUCUGUUUUUUGUUUUUCCUGUCCUUUUUCAAACUGAGUCCAAGAACUUGCUUGACAAUUUCGUCACGAUACAAUAAUUUUUGUUCACGUGAAAAUAAGAGUAGGAUUUACCUCUCUUUCUUGGCAUGCAAACGAAUGCAGAAAAGCAGAUACCUAUGCUGUUUCAAUUUUUGACACCACAAUUCACUCAAAUCAUCUCCUUGAAUCCUCCAUUGGAUAUGCUUCCUAUAAGCAUGGUAGGAAUUAUUAUGUCCCAAUGUCGGUAACAAACACUAUUCAUUUCUGCAUCUUGGCGCGGUUGAAUGGCGCAAAUCGCCAAACAGAAGAACCAACAAAUUCUGACAUCUUAUAAAGAAGGCUUCGUCCUUCUCUACUCUUUUUGUAGAGUGCAUAAAAUCUUUCAGAAGCGGCUACUCUUCCCUUGAGAACCUCGUUUUCACCCUUAAGCUGAAAAGACACAACAACCACUAUCACUAAAAAUAUCCGUAUAAUGAAGUAUUCAGCUUCUCUUGGGUUCUGGAAUAAAGAGAUUGCAUUAAUGUAUCUCCAGGGAAGGACUUGAAACACGACUGGAAAAGAAGCAUGGUGAGAAACUCGUAGCAAUUCCACAUCUAAAUUGAACAAGCGAAAAAAGCAAAAAAGCAGCCAAAAAUACACGUGAAGUAGUGAAGACACCAUGCCAUGGAUGAUUAAUCAAAUCAUUUCCCUACUACCUGCUCAAUUCUAAAUAGGAGAUAUUCCAGAGUUUGCUGCAAUGAGGAAAUUGUUUGUGAAAUAACAUCUUCAUAAACUGAUUCCAAGUCUUCAACUGAUUCAUCACCAAGGGGAAGUCCCUCCAUUAUGAAUAAUUCCUCAAGUAACUUCACAUCUUCAGUAUUCAGUCUCUCCUUCAACUACAUGGAUGGAUGCUUCUUAGAUAUUACAAAAAAUAUAUGUAUCAGUUAAUAUGCAAUUAUAUAUUACACAAGAGCUUUAACCUUUUCUAGAACUCUGUCACAUUUCUCAUCUUUGCUUUUGGUUACUAGUGUAUGUUUCUUGGUGAAUUUAUCUUCACUGACGAAUGGUGAUGCCUUUAUAUGCUUUGCCCUGACAAAGGGCAAACCAGAAAAUGGGGCAGAAAUCAGAGCCACCCAAAAUGAAAACUAUCAUAUCAAAAUCUUCGAAGAUAUAAAUUCAGGAAACAUCAUCUGGACUGACUCAAACUGAUUUUAUGAAAAGAGACCCUACCAACACAUAUUCAAAUAACAAAUUUUAUGCAGUUACUCUUUGUUUUUAAACAGUAAGAAAGAAUGUAGUGGGCUUUAUAGGUGCUUAAACUUUGGAAAUUCCUCUUUUACUUCUAACAAAAUAAAAUUAAAUCACCUUUCAAACGGUGGGAUGGUGUUCUGUAUGAAGUCAGGAUUCACAUACCUUGUGCCAAAGCGGAGAGUAGAUAGGCUCUCUGAUGCAUUUGAAUAGCUUGGUGAGCAACAACACAAUAAUGCAGUUCGAGAGGUCCCUCCCUAUAUCAUCUGAAUCAGUUUUCCUAAUAAAACAUUUACUUGUUAAAAAGUUAAUGAGACUCAAGAAGUAGAAACCAACAAGAGCAUCUUGUAGAAUCCGAGUAAGCUUGGAAUCACGGAACGGAAUGUGGUUUGCUUUGCCAACACUUGUCAGAGCAUUGAUUACAUUUCCUAAAGCUGAGAGGGACUUAUUGAUUGUCUUAGCUUCUUCAAGAACUUUUCCUUCAGCUCCUGUUUUCUCUACUUUCUCAGACCCAGCCAGGUCCACAAGAAUUAGUUUACCAUUUUUCACCCUGUUCAGCCAUCAUACUUUGAAUGUUCAAGACUAUCUUUUCAAAAAAAAAUUUAAAAAAAAAAAUCAACCGCUACAAGGAAGAAAUAUUACCUCUUAUCUCUGAUCAGUUCUUGUUGGACCACAAAUAUGUAUACACAAUGACUUCUACUGCUGGCCAUAUUCAUUUCUUAUAUCUGUUAAUGCUUAAAACAGUUUUUAAGAGCUCCAAUAUGAUUCAAAAAGAUCUGACUCUUUUAUUAGCUCGCUGAGGAAUGGCUUUUCUAUGUUUAACUAAACUGCAGCAGAAAGAAUUAAAAGCAGCAAAGAGAGAAGGAUACGGGUCUCUCCAACUGCUCUAUUAGCUAUACCCCUCUGCAAAAAAGUCUGCAUGAGGAAGCUAGAUGACAUGGUAUGCGUAUAUGGGAAAGAUAUCGGCCAAUUUUUAUCUUACAGAUAGGUUUUGUAAUGCUUCUGCAGGGUCCAAUAUAGAAAUCUGGGAAAGAAAGAAACUCAGAGAUUCAUGCAAUUAGAGAACAUAGAAUAACAAAAAUAAAGAAAAGGAAAAGGGAAACGAGACAUCCAACACAUGUUAUCCUUUGAUAAAUUAACUUACAAAACAAUAACUAGGUUGUGGAAACUGAGGUCACCUCUGUCAUUCCAGAUAAUAAUAUUCCUUGUGUUCUACUCUCCUUGAUCUGUAUGUUAUCCUUUGAUAAAUCAAAUAGGUCCCUAUGAAAAAACACAUUGGAAUUUAAAAUUCAGAUCCAAACUAUAAGAAGAUUUUAGCCUCAUUCAUGGCUAAUCAAGGAUUGAAAGGGAUAAGAAACCAUAUUGAGGUACCUGACUUUCUCCAUAUAAAUCUCCACCUAGUGGAGUCAAAAGAUUGUUCAGAAAUUGCACUAGCAAGUAUAAUUUUUAGUUGAUGCAAAUGCAAACCCUGUACUACAAUACAAGUUUUAUCAAUACCAUUGAAAACUUCAUUGUGUAUUUUGUUGUUUCGCUGGAAGAUUUAAUACAUUCAAACAGUCCAUCUACUACUCUUGGAAGUAAUCCCUUCUUCUUCUCAUCCUGUUCUAGAAUUCCUGAUCCCUAAUUAGAAUAACAAAUAAAGAAAUCCAGUUAAUCUUUGCCUAUCUAUAUAACAUUAAAAUUCUUCAAAUAUGUAGUCUGUUCUUUACAUCACCUCCAUGCUAUAUGUCUUCCCGGCUCCUGUCUGUUGUCAAGAUGAUAAAGUUGGUUAAGAUUGAGAAUCUGUAAGUUCAUUUGAGAAGUCCAUGGAACCCAAAAAAAAAGCCAUUCAUGACUCUGCUAACCAUCCUAAUUCUAAAGAUUCCUUAUAUAGUGUUUAAAGAGCCAAAACUCUUUCAGUCCUUAGUAAAGUAUCCCAUCUGAAUUUCCUGAUAAAAAUAGUUUUCAGUGACCAAUUGACUCACUUGUCACCUAGUGAUGGUUCAAAUCAUUAGGGGUGAGAUUCCUCAGACUUGAUCUACUGUAUACAAAAAAAUUGACUCACUUUUCAGACAUGAAAUUCUAUAUGCUGGUUUCUGAUUGUGUCAACAACUUCUUUAAUAGCAGAACUGGCAACAUAAUCAAUAUUAUAGGAUGCGUAUUUGAAUCUAGCAAAUUGGAGUUAAUGUUUCAGAUCUUUUGGACGUCAAAGUUCAUUCCUCAAUUUCUAAUUUUGAUUCAUCAAAUAAAUAUCUUUCUUUGUGCCAGUAUGUAGAAAUAUCAACAUGGUAACAAAAGCCAGAAUCCUUAUGAUAAUCUAGCCACCACAUCCUUAGUGAGGAUCAUCUAAUUCACCACUAAGUUAGGGUUACCUGUCCGUAAGUGAUGAUUGUGCCAUUUAAGGCUUUAACAGCAUCUGCUUAUCAAAGAAAACAUAUAGAAAUCAGAAACCAUGACAUGAGAGCAAGUUAGGAAGGCCAAAAUAGUAGACAUGAUCUCAGUGUAAGUCCAUAGAAACCUAUCUUCUGUUUCUAGCCAGGAAAUUGAAAACAAAUUAGAGAAAUUUACAAGAUCUAGAAUAUAUCUCAUCUCUUUAGGGUCUGAGAGAAGACUAAGAACACUAAGACAUACAAAGAUACAGUCUAGGACAUAUUUUCAGUCGAAGUAUAUGAAAACCAGACAAAUUCUUUAGUCUUUCUUUUCUUUGAUUUUCUUAACAAGCAAACAGAAAAGUCCGCAAGCAAUCUGAGUCAAAGGCUAACGGUUAAGUCCAUGGAUUAUGAUUUAUACCUCGAACAAUAGGCAGAGCCAGAAAUUCAUAGACAUCAGCUUGCUCGGAUUUCUCAUAGAACACUCUGUCAAAGUUAAAUGUGAAAUCUUCUUCCUUCUCAUCCUACCACACACACGAAUUACUAACACAUUGCUAAACUGAUUUAACAGAUAAUUAGGCAUCAAAUGUAAAUAAAAUAUUAAACAUUAAGCAUUCUGAAGCAAGAACGGACCUUGAAAAUGAAAGAUUCAGUGUCGAUGCCGUGAAUGCAGACACCAUCGCCAUGAUCUCUUCUCUCCUUUGAGCUCAAAGGCCUAAAUCGAGCGCAGACCGUUAUAUUUGACAUAGCUUUAUCAACAAAACCUCAAAUAUCCUGAGAAAUCAAUAAACAAAAUUUAUUGGCAUGUUUAAAACAAGAGUUAUAACCAAUGGAGUGAACGGAGCUACUCAACGACUCGCGCCAACGAGGAAGAUCAAGAACAAACAACAUAUCUAUUGAAAUGAUAUACAGAUAAACCUAGAUUACAUUCAAAUAAUUCUAAAAUUUGAAACGCUGGAAUCAACGGAAGAAGCGCGGUUCUUAGCAUGAAACUCACGGACCUCAGUUCUUGCACUACAAGUUUCUACUAAUGGCGGGCAAGUUAGGAAACAAGCGAUAAAUGAAAUUUAAAUAUAGGCCAGAGAGUCGGUUGCCUGGCUUCAUUAUUGGACCUAGCUACGUGGGCCUGACGUGGUGGGUCCGGCCCAUUAAUGUUUAUGGUAGGCCCAAUUCAAAUGCAGGAGAUAUUUUUUAAAUGUUGUCCAGUCCCGUCCAUGACAAGUUAGGCACCGGAGUUGACCCGUUAAAUCCAAUAGGUCAAGCCCAAAUUAGUUAUGGGUUUUUAAAUUUAAAAUUAUAUUGGGCCAAACCAGAGACGGGCCAAAAUUAAUUUUAUGUAGAAUCCAAACCCAUUCACCGCUUGAAGCCAGUUCAUAUUUUGAAUGGGUUACCCAAGCGUAGCCGACGAUGAAUCCACAGAAGUUAACAAUGUUGCAGGCUGCCAGCGCUGUAAGACGAAGUUCUUUAAAAUUUCAAGUUUAAACCCUUUCGAUGAUGCAAGAAACCCAGAUCUUGCAGGCGCGCAGAUGACGGACCCGGCGGCUCCACCGUGCCUCCACUUAGUCUCGGCCUUUCUCGCCAUGGAACCCACCGAUUCUUUGGUUUCUUUCGCGAGGUAAAUUCUUGCGUCCGUUUUUGUUUCUCCCCUGGUUUUAUCAUCGUUGAUAUCAUUUCGCGUCUUGUAGAAACUGCGGUGGAGGAUUGGUUACAGAGGAAGUGCAGAGGUUCAUCUGGGAACAUUGUAUUUGCGAAGCUGUAAGCCAACUUUACUGGGUAUAUGUGUGUGUGUGAGUGUGCGUGGAUAAUACGUCAAAAAGCAAAAUCGAAAUUCAUAGUAUUUAUCUAUUCAAAUGUGUUUGCGUGCGUGGAUAAUAUGUCAAAAAGCAAUUAUACUCUUAAAAGAGUUUAAAUCGAAAGUUAUAGUAUUUAUCUAUUCAAAUAGAAUGUGUGUUUUCUAAUUUUGUCAAGUUUUAAAAGUAUUGUCAAGGUGGCAACAUGUGACUGCUUUUGUCAUUGCUAAGCUAUUCUCUUGCAGCAUUGUGUUUCUAGAUGCCGAUUAUAGUACUUAAAUAGGGAAUAUAAAGCACUGGAGUGGCAUUAGCGGUAGAAAGAAUUGGAAUUUCUUUCUAGUUUUAUGUAUUCUUGUUAGUUUUUUAUAGCGAUUGAUACUACAUCAUCUGCUAUGGACAUUGUGUUAGACACGAAGUUAAUGAUAAAGAUCUAUUCGGAUAAAAUUUAAAAGUUCAGAUUAUAUUUGAACCAAAAGAUACUGUAAGGGUUUAUUUGAACCUUUUCUAAUAGUAUUAGAGCUUUUUGAUGUAUUUUAUAUAUAUAUAUGUGUGUGUGUGUGUGUGAGUGUGCGUGGAUGAUACGUCAAAAAGCAAUUAUACUAUUAAAAAAGUUUAAAUCGAAAUUCAUAGUAUUUAUCUAUUCAAAUGUGUGUGCGUGCGUGGAUAAUAUGUCAAAAAGCAAUUAUACUCUUAAAAGAGUUUAAAUCGAAAGUUAUAGUAUUUAUCUAUUCAAAUAGAAUGUGUGUUUUCUAGUUUUGUCAAGUUUUAAAAGUAUUGUCAAGGUGGCAACAUGUGACUGCUUUUGUCAUUGCUAAGCUAUUCUCUUGCAGCAUUGUGUUUCUAGAUGCCGAUUAUAGUACUUAAAUAGGGAAUAUAAAGCACUGGAGCGGCAUUAGCGGUAGAAAGAAUUGGAAUUUCUUUCUAGUUUUAUGUAUUCUUGUUAGUUUUUUAUUGCGAUUGAUACUACAUCAUCUGCUAUGGACAUUGUUUUAGACACGAAGUUAAUGAUAAAGAUCUCUUCGGAUAAAAUUUAAAAGUUCAGAUUAUAUUUGAACCAAAAGAUACUGUAAGGGUUUAUUUGAGCCUUUUCUAAUAGUAUUAGAGCUUUUUGAUGUAUUAUAUAUAUCUAUAUAUAUAUAUAUAUACAUAUAUAUGAGAAUUUUUAACUUAGAGACUCUUUGGUUGCUAAGAAAUUCCAGGAGGAUGUCAAAAUUUAAGUGAAAAUUUCUAUACCACCAUUAAUCAGUAACUUUCCCUUGAAUCAUUUAAAGAAUUGAAGGAAAAGGAGAAUCUUUUAAGUCUAGGUUCCCUUUUUCCUUGAGCUGUUGAGCAUUCAAUUCUUUCAACUUUGAUUUGUGGGUUUACUUCUUUUAUACAGUAACUCUGGUAAUGUUUAUUCAUGGAGUAUAAAACUUGGGUUCAGUUGUAUGAUCGCAGCAGGUUGCAAAUGUUCAUGUAUCUUAUGUGAAGAAUUUUCUGAAGAAGCUUAUACAUGAAGUCGAGUCAAAGAAUGGUGACAUGCUGGAUCAAUUAUAUGAAAAGUAUGCUUACUAUAUGGUUUCACUGAAGGUAAUGUUUAUCAAAAAACUUAUUGGCUUUCUAAUUGAAUGAUUUUUGUCCUUAAAUGUGCUUGGUUUAUAUUUGACAAGACUUCCUGGUCACUAGGAUGACAUUUUGACGAAAGGAGGCAUCAGAGUCUGCAAGCACAUAUCGUAUCUUUUUCCCGAGGGUAACUAUUAUUACUCCCAUAUGUUGGUUUUUUUUAAUAUUUCAAUAUUUUCUAUCUUCUUGCUUCCAGUUUUAUAUUUGAUUGCUUGUUUCUUCUAGGUUGCUAUAAACUUGACAGUUGCCCAAGUUCGAGGAAGCUGACAGUUCAACUCCAAUGUUCACUCAACAUGCUUGAAGGAGAUACAGGGUAUGACCAUGAUUUGUCACUAUCAAAAUAUGUAAUGGAUGUCUCUGGAUUUAUGCAUUAUCCUCUUCAUCCAAUUAUUUUCAUGCACAUAAGAAAUCAUGACACUGAGUUCUUUCUCAUAUACAGCUAUUAUUCU
rnacentral:lncRNA from 1 species